AAAAAUAGUUCCAUGCACGUCGCGAACGUCCAAGUGACAGUUUAAUGAUAGCUGAGGAAACCGCACGACUUAUUCUUUGAGGACCAUUGUGAUAUCCAAAUCCUGCUUGGGAGGACAUCACUUCUACAUAGGAACGAGUGCAAGAAGCAUCUCUGAGAAACUUGCUGAUAACGUCGAAGCAUUGCGGAGAAACACAACAUGAAGACAAUAACUUGUCUGGUGCUUGCAGUCAUCUUGUUGUCCUUCAUUGCAGAAAAUGGUGACGGAAAAAUAACUAUUUUACAUGAAGGCCGCGUUAGUGGGAAACCAAGAAGAAAAAGUCGGAGACAGACAGUGAGAAAGAGGCCAAGCACAACAGCAAAUGAGGACAAUGGCAGUACUAUUCAGGAUAGACGACGGCCAGUGAAAUACAACAGAUGGCACGAGUCCCCACACUGGAUGACUUAGUAACUUUGAAACACUGUUCACCUCAGAAACAAAGCGGACAAGAUACUGUUAUUGACUAUGUUUUCUUUAUUUUCGGUUUACAUUAGGUGCAACAGCUAAAGACAUUUUAAAUUCAGCCAAACACUAAGAGAAAAGAACCAAUUUAGAUAAAAUCAUGUGCAGGCCGCGAUGUGAAGUUGAACACCUCUGGACACUUUUCGGGAGCUGUUAUAGAGCUUUUUAGAGGUUAGUGCUUACUUUUAGAAUAAACCUUACCGAUGUAAGAGGAUUAAUUCGCAAGUAACACCAGGCCGGAAGCAGAGAGAAUUUUUGAAAAGACGUACAACAGUUCUAUUGAACAUUCAGUGUUAAAUACAGUUUUGAUAGAAAUGAACGAUACAUCACCUGGCAGAUUUAUGCUCGCAGCUUUAUCUUGUUUAUAGUUCUCUUGUAAUAUUAGAAAAAGCCAUUUAUUAAUGUAAAUAAAAUAUCAACAUCUAAAGUGUUGAAGUUCUCAAUGGUCA